AUUGAACGCUGGCGGCAUGCCUUACACAUGCAAGUCGAACGGCAGCACGGGUGCUUGCACCUGGUGGCGAGUGGCGAACGGGUGAGUAAUACAUCGGAACAUGUCCUGUCGUGGGGGAUAGCCCGGCGAAAGCCGGAUUAAUACCGCAUACGAUCUACGGAUGAAAGCGGGGGACCUUCGGGCCUCGCGCUAUAGGGUUGGCCGAUGGCUGCUUAGCUAGUUGGUGGUGUAAAGGCCUACCAAGGCGACGAUCAGUAGCUGGUCUGAGAGGACGACCAGCAACACUGGGACUGAGACACGGCCCAGACUCCUACGGGAGGCAGCAGUGGGGAAUUUUGGACAAUGGGCGAAAGCCUGAUCCAGCAAUGCCGCGUGUGUGAAGAAGGCCUUCGGGUUGUAAAGCACUUUUGUCCGGAAAGAAAUACUUGGCCCUAAUACGGUCGGGGGAUGACGGUACCGGAAGAAUAAGCACCGGCUAACUACGUG
rnacentral:rRNA from 1 species